UGACACUCACCAAAAAAACAACUUCAGCGAUUGACGUGUCGGAAUUAAUAGCUCGAAUUAAUAGAUAUGUAACGAUUACGUCGAGAAUAGGGAUCAUCUCCUCCUGCGAUGCGCCUUUAGCAUUCAUAUUUGGAACUCCAUCCAGGCUAGGCUGAGGCUAACUCCGUGUAUCUUCUACACUUGGACUGCUCUUAUUGCUUGGACAGGUCUAAAAGCAGACGCUUCUCCUUCUCUGCUUCGGAAAGUGGCUGCCCAAGCAGCUAUCUAUCAAAUUUGGAGACAGAGGAAUAACAUGAUUCACAAUGGCAUCACAAUCCCACCAGCAACUAUAUUCAAAAUCAUUGACAGGGAAGUGAGGAAUACCAUUACUGCAAGAAAGUCCAGAAAACGUUUUCGGGAUUUAAUGGCUCUUUGGAUCCGCUAAUGGGUUGAUUGACACUCAACUCCUCUUUUGUAAUCUUUGUUUUUUACAUUCUUUGGCAAAGUCUACAAGCUUUAGGUUCUUCUUUU